GUCACCCGUCCCGGAAUGAGGGGGGGAUAUCCGGGGACAUCACAUGCAGCGUCCAGCCCAGAGGAUCCUGCAAUCUCUUUUCAUAGGGACAUCACAUGCAGCAUUCGUCCCAGGGGAUCCUACGAUCUGCACAGCAGAGUAAGCAAUCGACAGCAGGUAUGUAGUCUUUAAUGGGUGAUGGGCUUACGGCUGGGAGAUGCUUCAGUUAAGACCGAGAAAGGAAUAAUUCGUGUGUCCACCUCCUUUCAUAGGGACAUCACAUGCGGCGUUCAGCCCAGAGGAUCCUGCGAUCUGCGCAGCGGAGUAAGUAAUCAACAGUAAGUAUGUGUUCUUGAAUAAGUAAUGGGGCUUACGGCUGGGAGAUGCUUCGGUCAGUGCCUGGGUGUGGAUUACGGUGACGGUGGUGGGCUCUCGGGGUGGUGAGCGUCCGGCAUUAACUCUACAUAUCUUCCCCACACUCUGUAACUUCACUUCAAACGAUUUAUUGUGCAGACACACCACUUCAGACACGGCACACCCACUCUUAGUGCAAAUAGAGCCAGCACUCACCCAACGAUGGCUCCGUCCACUUCACAACGUUAUCACUCCCAGUCCAGAUGUAUACAAUUGAUCGAAGUCCCAGAUCAGGUCUCUUAACUUCCCUCCGAUAGUGAUGGCGCGGCCUGGUCUCCACUUGCUUUCCAGAACUCACACUCUUUCUGUCCUGAAUAUCUCCACUCGAUCGCUGAUAUAACUGUUGCACAGCCAGAUAGCCGAAACCCCACAAUAGUCCUCGAAUACCUCCACACGCCAGCCCAACCGUCCCAGAAAUUCACCUCACUUUUGGUCUCUGCACUUCUCUUUUUAUGUGGUUACUCCGCUUCCAUAAUCCUCUCACAGAUCGCCACGUCAAACUCCCCACACCAGAUGUCAAUCUAUCAUUAGCGUUGUUAUUGUGACAUCGGGCGCAACCCGGAAGUGGACCGGUGUUACCGCGACACCGUCCCGGGGGGAACACAAUUCCAAC
ensembl:lncRNA